AGGGACAGAGCUGUCCCAGUUCAACAGUGGAAAAACAGAGCAUGCCCCCAGGGAUAAGUCGGUUGAGGGACUACAGAGGAUCUCUCCUCUGGAAUCCCCAGUCCUGUCUACUCCUCACCAAGGAGCUCACCCCCACCCCAGGGCUUCCUGAGGCUGCGGUGGUCACGCUUCGCCCGUGUCCUCCUCACCCGCUCCUGCGCCAUCCUGCCCACCGUGCUCGUGGCUGUCUUCCGGGACCUGAGGGACUUGUCGGGCCUCAAUGAUCUGCUCAACGUGCUGCAGAGCCUGCUGCUCCCGUUCGCCGUGCUGCCCAUCCUCACGUUCACCAGCAUGCCCACCCUCAUGCAGGAGUUUGCCA
rnacentral:sRNA from 1 species